rnacentral:rRNA from 1 species
GAUGAACGCUAGCUACAGGCUUAACACAUGCAAGUCGCAGGGUAACAUGAGGAAAGCUUGCUUUCCUUGAUGACGACUGGCGCACGGGUGAGUAACGCGUAUCCAACCUUCCCAUAACUACGGGAUAACCCGUUGAAAGACGGCCUAAUACCGUAUGAUAUCGUUUGCUGACAUCAAAUAACGAUUAAAGGUUUAGCGGUUAUGGAUGGGGAUGCGUCUGAUUAGCUUGUUGGCGGGGUAACGGCCCACCAAGGCGACGAUCAGUAGGGGUUCUGAGAGGAAGGUCCCCCACAUUGGAACUGAGACACGGUCCAAACUCCUACGGGAGGCAGCAGUGAGGAAUAUUGAUCAAUGGGCGAGAGCCUGAACCAGCCAAGUAGCGUGCAGGACGACGGCCCUAUGGGUUGUAAACUGCUUUUAUGUGGGGAUAAAGUGCGUGACGUGUCAUGCAUUGCAGGUACCACAUGAAUAAGGACCGGCUAAUUCCGUG